rnacentral:rRNA from 1 species
UACGUAGGUCCCGAGCGUUGUCCGGAUUUAUUGGGCGUAAAGCGAGCGCAGGUGGUUUAUUAAGUCUGGUGUAAAAGGCAGUGGCUCAACCAUUGUAUGCAUUGGAAACUGGUAGACUUGAGUGCAGGAGAGGAGAGUGGAAUUCAUGUGUAGCGGUGAAAUGCGUAGAUAUAUGGAGGAACACCGGUGGCGAAAGCGGCUCUCUGGCCUGUAACUGACACUGAGGCUCGAAAGCGUGGGGAGCAAACAGG